rnacentral:rRNA from 1 species
CCCGGUAGUCCAACGCUGUUAACGAUCGAUACUAGGUACGCGAGGGUACUUACCCCUUACGCCCUUAGCAUUACGUGAUAAGGAUACGGCCUGGGGACUUCGGCCUCCAAGGUUAAAAAUCGGGAGGAAUCGCAAGGGGGCCGGCACAAGCGAGCGGAGCGUAUGAUACUAAGAUGGAUGAUACCCGGAGAACGACACAUUGGGUUUGACAUGUUGGAUAAGUAGGGAAACGCAAUCGGAGUGGACCAUUCAGGGGAGCCAUCACAGUUGUCGACAUGGCUGUCGUCAGGUGCAGGUCGUGAGAUGCAGGGUGAAGUCCAGCCACGAGCUCAACCAUUGUCGUCUAGUCACAUGUGUCUAGGGUAGACUGCCGGUAGCUAGCCGGAGGAUGAUGGGGACGAGGCCAAGUCAGUCAUGGUCUAUACUCACAGGGCUACACACACGAUACAUGUGUCCGGUACAAUAGGUGGCCACACCGAGAGGAGGAGAGAAUCCCCAAAGCCGGUCUCAAGUCGGAUAGUAGUCUGCAACUCGACGGCAUGAAGGCGGAGUUGCUAGUAACCGCGCGUCAGCAAUAAUGCGGUGAAGGUGUUCACGAGACCGUGUACACACCGCCCGUCACAUCACGGCAGUCGGUUACACUGGAAGUCCCCGACCCAUCCGCAAGGAGGCAGCUGCAUAAGGUGGGAUCGGUGACUGGGAUGAAGUCGU